rnacentral:rRNA from 1 species
GAUGAACGCUAGCGGCAGGCCUAACACAUGCAAGUCGAGGGGCAGCACAGGUAGCAAUACUGGGUGGCGACCGGCGCACGGGUGAGUAACGCGUAUGCAACCUACCAUAUACAGGGGGAUAGCCUCCCGAAAGGGAGAUUAAUACCGCAUAAAGCAGGGGUACCGCCUGGUACUAUUUGCUAAAGAUUUAUCGGUAUAUGAUGGGCAUGCGUGUCAUUAGCUAGUUGGUGAGGUAACGGCUCACCAAGGCGACGAUGACUAGGGGGUCUGAGAGGAUGAUCCCCCACACUGGUACUGAGACACGGACCAGACUCCUACGGGAGGCAGCAGUGAGGAAUAUUGGUCAAUGGGCGAGAGCCUGAACCAGCCAUGCCGCGUGCAGGAAGACGGCCCUAAGGGUUGUAAACUGCUUUUUUACGGGGGUAAUAGCAGAUCUGCGGAUUUGUAUGAAAGUACUGUAAGAAUAAGCGUCGGCUAACUACGUG